rnacentral:rRNA from 1 species
CAGUAGCCACGGUAAUACGGAGGGUCCGAGCGUUAAUCGGAAUUACUGGGCGUAAAGCGUGCGCAGGCGGUUUGUUAAGCGAGAUGUGAAAGCCCUGGGCUCAACCUAGGAAUAGCAUUUCGAACUGGCGAACUAGAGUUUUGUAGAGGGGGGUAGAAUUCCAGGUGUAGCGGUGAAAUGCGUAGAGAUCUGGAGGAAUACCGGUGGCGAAGGCGGCCCCCUGGACAAAGACUGACGCUCAUGCACGAAAGCGUGGGGAGCAAACAGGAUUAGAUACCCCUGUAGUCCCUGUCUCUUAUAC